rnacentral:lncRNA from 1 species
GGGUGUGUAAGCCCGGAGUAAAUAGUGAGGAAACCAGGUGUAAAUUGUGAGUAAACACAAAGUAAACAUGAGAGUAAAACCUGGAGCAUAUUGUUAGGAACCCCGGAGUAAAUUGUGAUUUAAUUCCUGAGUAAAGUGAGAGUAAACCCAGAGAAAAGUAUGAAUGAACCUGGAUUGAAAUGUGUGUAAACCCGGAGUAAAGGGUUAGUAAAGCUAGAGUAAAGUGUGAGUAAUACCCUGAGUAAGGUGUGACUAAACCCAAAGUAAAGCGUGAGUAAACCAAGAGUAAAGUGUGCGUAACCAUGAAGUAAAGAGUGAGUAAACCUGGAGUAAAGAGUGAACAAAGCUUGGAGUAAACUGUGAGGAAACAUGGAGUAAAAUAUGUGUAAACCCUGGCGUAGAAUGUGAGCAAAACCUGAUGUAAACUGUGAGUAAAGCUAGAGAAAAGUGUGAGUAAACCCAAAGUAAAGGGUGUGUAAGCCCGGAGUAAAUAGUGCGGAAACCUGGUGUAAAUUGUGAGUAAACCCAAAGUAAACAUAUGAGUUAAACCUGGCAUACAUUGCUAGGAAACCCGGUGUAAAGUGUGAGUAAAGUGAGAGUAAAGUGAGAGUAAACCUAGAGAAAAGUGUGAGUACACCAGGAUUAUAGUGUGAGUAAGCCCGGAAUAAAGGGUUAGUAAAGCUAGAGUAAAGUGUGAGUAAUACCCUGAGUAAGGUGUGACUAAACCCAAAGUAAAGCGUGAGUAACUAUGGAGUAAAGAGUGCGUAACCAUGAAGUAAAGAGUGAGUAAAGGUGGAGUAGAGAGUGACCAAAGCUUGGAGAAAACAUGGAGUAAAAUAUGUGUAAACCGUGGUGUAGAAUGUGAGUAAAACCUGAUGUAAAGUGUGAGUAAAGCUUGAGAAAUGUGUGAGAAAACCCAAAGUAAAGGGUGUGUAAGCCCGGAGUAAAUAGCGAGUAAAGCUGGAGAAAAUUGUGAGUAAACCCAAAGUAAACUUAAGGGUAAAACCUAAAGUAUAUUGUUAGGAAACCCGGAGUAAAGGGUGAGUAAAGCCCUGAGUAAAGUGAGAGUAAACCCAGAGAAAAGUGUGAGUAAACCUUUGCUACUGCAAAGCCCGUGGGCCCUCGGUGUGCAGGGACACUGCUCUCCCCCCAUCCGCCCAGCCUGUGAUGCCAUCAUAGAAGGCUACCAG